rnacentral:rRNA from 1 species
GAUGAACGCUGGCGGCGUGCCUAAUACAUGCAAGUCGAGCGAACAGAUGAGGAGCUAGCUCCUCUGACGUUAGCGGCGGACGGGUGAGUAACACGUGGAUAACCUACCUAUAAGACUGGGAUAACUUCGGGAAACCGGAGCUAAUACCGGAUAAUAUAUUGAACCGCAUGGUUCAAUAGUGAAAGACGGUUUUGCUGUCACUUAUAGAUGGAUCCGCGCCGCAUUAGCUAGUUGGUAAGGUAACGGCUUACCAAGGCAACGAUGCGUAGCCGACCUGAGAGGGUGAUCGGCCACACUGGAACUGAGACACGGUCCAGACUCCUACAGGAGGCAGCAGUAGGGAAUCUUCCGCAAUGGGCGAAAGCCUGACGGAGCAACGCCGCGUGAGUGAUGAAGGUCUUCGGAUCGUAAAACUCUGUUAUUAGGGAAGAACAAAUGUGUAAGUAACUAUGCACGUCUUGACGGUACCUAAUCAGAAAGCCACGGCUAACUACGUG